UACGGAAGGGGCAAGCGUUAAUCGGAAGUACUGGGCGUAAAGCGCGCGUAGGUGGCUUGAUAAUCCGGUUGUGAAAGCCCCGGGCUCAACCUGGGAACGGCAUCCGGAACUGUCAAGCUAGAGUGCAGGAGAGGAAGGUAGAAUACCCGGUGUAGCGGUGAAAUGCGUAGAGAUCGGGAGGAAUACCAGUGGCGAAGGCGGCCUUCUUGACUGACACUGACACUGAGGUGCGAAAGCGUGGGUAGCAAACAGG
rnacentral:misc_RNA from 1 species